UACGUAGGGGGGCUAGCGUUGUCCGGAAUCAUUGGGCGUAAAGCGCGUGUAGGCGGCCCGGUAAGUCCGCUGUGAAAGUCGGGGGCUCAACCCUCGGAAGCCGGUGGAUACUGUCGGGCUCGAGUACGGAAGAGGCGAGUGGAAUUCCUGGUGUAGCGGUGAAAUGCGUAGAUAUCAGGAGGAACACCUGUGGCGAAAGCGGCUCACUGGACCACAACUGACGCUGAGGCGCGAAAGCUAGGGGAGCAAACGGG
rnacentral:rRNA from 1 species